rnacentral:lncRNA from 1 species
GUUUGGUCGAUCUUUCCAGGAAAACAAAAGGGGGAUUCCUCCAAAACCCUAAAACUCACAAAUCAUCAAAAAUCAAAGAAGAAUUUGAACAAAAAUCAGUGCUAAAGCUAAUUUCAUGAUCAACCACGUUAGAAGAUCACAAGGCAAAGCGGGUGAAGCGUCGAGUGGUCAAGUUGGAACGGACGCGCCCUUGAAGGAUAAGCUAUAAGUUUUGUUUAUAGGUGAUCAGUUUGAACUUUUGGAUGGCGAUCAAGUUUGCAAAAAGAACCGAAUACACAUUAAAAUGAAGCUUCCACGCUAUCAUAGUUUCUUUUGAUGUUACGAAUUGUGUAAACACUUUUAACUAUGUUUGAAUGUUUUAAACUUUAAAUGAACAUCGCUAUGUAAAUGUUUUGUAAAACGGCAUUUUUUUCGUAAAAUGCAAACUUUGAAUGAU